CACAUGCAGUCGAGCGGUAACAGAUCCAGCUUGCUGGAUGCUGACGAGCGGCGGACGGGUGAGUAAUGCAUAGGAAUCUGCCCGAUAGUGGGGGAUAACCUGGGGAAACCCAGGCUAAUACCGCAUACGUCCUACGGGAGAAAGGGGGCUCCGGCUCCCGCUAUGGGAUGAGCCUAUGUCGGAUUAGCUAGUUGGUGAGGUAAUGGCUCACCAAGGCAACGAUCCGUAGCUGGUCUGAGAGGAUGAUCAGCCACAUCGGGACUGAGACACGGCCCGAACUCCUACGGGAGGCAGCAGUGGGGAAUAUUGGACAAUGGGGGAAAGCCUGAUCCAGCCAUGCCGCGUGUGUGAAGAAGGCCCUCGGGUUGUAAAGCACUUUCAGCGAGGAAGAACGCCUAGCGGUUAAUACCCGCUAGGAAAGACAUCACUCGCAGAAGAAGCACCGGCUAACUCCGUGCCAGCAGCCGCGGUAAUACGGAGGGUGCAAGCGUUAAUCGGAAUUACUGGGCGUAAAGCGCGCGUAGGUGGCUUGAUAAGCCGGUUGUGAAAGCCCCGGGCUCAACCUGGGAACGGCAUCCGGAACUGUCAAGCUAGAGUGCAGGAGAGGAAGGUAGAAUUCCCGGUGUAGCGGUGAAAUGCGUAUAGAUCGGGAGGAAUACCAGUGGCGAAGGCGGCCUUCUGGACUGACACUGACACUGAGGUGCGAAAGCGUGGGUAGCAAACAGGAUUAGAUACCCUGGUAGUCCACGCCGUAAACGAUGUCGACCAGCCGUUGGGUGCCUAGCGCACUUUGUGGCGAA
rnacentral:rRNA from 1 species